GCCCGCUUGGCGGAAUCGGUAGACGCACGGGACUUAAAAUCCCGAGGCCGCAAGGCCGUGCCGGUUCGAGUCCGGCAGCGGGCACCA
rnacentral:tRNA from 1 species